rnacentral:rRNA from 1 species
UGGGGAAUUUUGCACAAUGGGGGAAACCCUGAUGCAGCGACGCCGCGUGAUUUAGAAGGCCUUCGGGUUGUAAAAAUCUUUUCUAUGGGAAGAAAAUGACAGUACCAUAGGAAUAAGGACCGGCUAAUUACGUGCCAGCAGCCGCGGUAAUACGUAAGGUCCGAGCGUUGUCCGGAAUCAUUGGGCGUAAAGGGUACGUAGGCGGGUAAGCAAGUUAGAAGUGAAAUCCUAUAGCUCAACUAUAGUAAGCUUUUAAAACUGCUCAUCUUGAGGUAUGGAAGGGAAAGUGGAAUUCCUAGUGUAGCGGUGAAAUGCGCAGAUAUUAGGAGGAAUACCGGUGGCGAAGGCGACUUUCUGGCCAGAACCUGACGCUGAGGUACGAAAGCGUGGGUAGCAAACAGG